CUCGUGUCGUGAGAUGUUGGGUUAAGUCCCGCAACGAGCGCAACCCUUAUCCUUAGUAGCCAGCAGGGAAAGCUGGGCACUAUAGGGAGACUGCCAGGGAUAACCUGGAGGAAGGUGGGGAUGACGUCAAAUCAUCAUGCCCUCUAUGAUUUGGGUUACACACGUGUUACAAUGGCGUAAACAAAGGGAAGCGAAGUGGCGACAUGGAGCGAACCCCAAAAAUAACGUCUCAGUUCGGAUUGCAGGUUGCAACCCGCCUGCAUGAAGCUGGAAUCGUUAGUAAUAGCAGAUCAGAAUGCUGCGGUGAAUACGUUCCCGGGUCUUGUACACCCCGCCCGUCACACCAUGGGAGUCGAUAACGCCGGAAGUCAGUGACCCAACCGAAAGGAGGGAGCUGCCGAAGGCGGGAUGGAUAACUGGGGUGAAGUCGUAACAAGGUAGCCGUAUCGGAAGGUGCGGUUGGAUCACCUCU
rnacentral:rRNA from 1 species